UUCCCGUGAAGAGGCGGGAAUAUACAAAUAAGACGAGAAGACCCUAUGGAGCUUUAACUAACCAACCCAAAGAAAAUAAACUUAGCCAUUAAGGAAUAACAAUAAUCUCCAUGGGUUGGCAGUUUCGGUUGGGGUGACCUCGGAGAAUAAAAAAUCCUCCGAACGAUUUUAAAAACUAGACCCACAAGUCAAAUCAUUCUAUCGCUCAUUGAUCCAAAAACUUGAUCAACGGAACAAGUUACCCUA
rnacentral:rRNA from 2 species